AGCGUUCAUGGGCACGAGAGGGCUCGGCAAAAUUUUUGAGUUUUCGAACACUACUGUCACUGAGUGCGAAGCUUCGCUCCCUGCUCGCAUACAUGGAACUUGGAGCAACAAUUUGCCAAAAAGCAGGAGCAGUGCUGUCUGUCGUACCUACAUCAUUCAUUCCGAGCUAUUUUCUUCUCUAUUGUUGCGGCACUUUGUGUGGAUGUACUUGUGUUGUGUACAUGUAGGUACAUACACAUGCAUAGCCUGCCAUACCAUACCUAGCAAACCGUUGUUGCGUUGUGUGUGCAUGGCCAGUGCACUGGUUUUAUUUUUAGCCAUCAAGUUCGAGGAGGUAUUGGGAUAGGACAUACCGGAGAGCAGGCACGGCUAGCAGCUAACAGGCAAACGAAUAGCGAACGGAAAUUUUCAUCAAUGAAUUUUCGUGUAGAUGUCGUUGUGGCAUCUACGUCGUUCUUUUUACCUUUUUUCGGGUAAUACGCAUAUGCGCAUUUCAUUGUACCCGGGAAAUUCAAUGAAUUUCGGUUCCAUUAAAAUGUAAUGAUACCAAACACCAGCACCAGCACCGACACCGUUACUGAUACCACCGAUGCCACCUGCAACAGCAGCAGCAACAGCAACAGCGACAAUGACAACAACAUUCACACCAAAUUUGGGGUGAGAUAAGAAAAUGGCCAGGAAAAGCAACAUACGGCGGAAUACACCAUACAAACACAUACACACGCUCACGCACACUUGCACCCAAAAAUGCCUAUAUACAUAUUUCCACCUGUAUGUACGUUCAUACAUUCAUGAAUACAUACAACAUACACACUUGUACAUACUCAGUGCAGAGAUAUAAGGUGUGAUACACCUGUAUUUAUAUUGUUGAUAAUUAUGGUUGGCCACAGUUAUGGCUCCAAGCAAUAAUCUAUUAAGAAAAUUAUGUGUAUGUGUGUGUGUGUGUAUAUCACGAAAGGAUAUUUCACUAUUGAACCGUUUGUAAUCGAUUUAGCCUACAUCUCAAAUACAAGAGGAUAAAGAACCGAA